AUUGAACGCUGGCGGCAGGCCUAACACAUGCAAGUCGAGCGGCAGCGGAAAGUAGCUUGCUACUUUGCCGGCGAGCGGCGGACGGGUGAGUAAUGUCUGGGAAACUGCCUGAUGGAGGGGGAUAACUACUGGAAACGGUAGCUAAUACCGCAUAACCUCGAAAGAGCAAAGUGGGGGAUCUUCGGACCUCACGCCAUCGGAUGUGCCCAGAUGGGAUUAGCUAGUAGGUGAGGUAAUGGCUCACCUAGGCGACGAUCCCUAGCUGGUCUGAGAAGAUGACCAGCCACACUGGAACUGAGACACGGUCCAGACUCCUACGGGAGGCAGCAGUGGGGAAUAUUGCACAAUGGGCGCAAGCCUGAUGCAGCCAUGCCGCGUGUGUGAAGAAGGCCUUAGGGUUGUAAAGCGACUUUCAGCGAGGAGGAAGGCAAGUCAUACGUUAAUACGUAGUGGUGAUUGACG
rnacentral:rRNA from 1 species